rnacentral:rRNA from 1 species
ACGGGAGGCAGCAGUGGGGAAUAUUGCACAAUGGGCGCAAGCCUGAUGCAGCGAUGCCGCGUGAGGGAAGAAGGUUUUCGGAUUGUAAACCUCUGUCAUCGGGGACGAUAAUGACUGUACCCGAGAAGGAAGCCCCGGCUAACUACGUGCCAGCAGCCGCGGUAAUACGUAGGGGGCAAGCGUUAUCCGGAUUUACUGGGUGUAAAGGGAGCGUAGACGGUAUUGCAAGUCUGAAGUGAAAGGCUGGGGCUCAACCCCGGGACUGCUUUGGAAACUGUAAUACUAGAGUGCAGGAGAGGUAAGUGGAAUUCCUAGUGUAGCGGUGAAAUGCGUAGAUAUUAGGAGGAACACCAGUGGCGAAGGCGGCUUACUGGACUGUAACUGACGUUGAGGCUCGAAAGCGUGGGGAGCAAACAGGAUUAGAUACCCUGGUA